AGUGACCGCUGGCGGUAGGCCUAACACAUGCAAGUAGAACGGCAGCACAGUAAGUGCUUGCUCUUACGGGUGGCGGGUGGCGGACGGGUGAGGUAUACAUCGGACUCUACUUUUUCGUGGGGGAUAACGUAGGGAAACUUACGCUAAUACCGCAUACGACCUACGGGUGAAAGCAGGGGAUCUUCGGACUUUGCGCGCUAGAAUGAGCAGAUGUCGAAUUAGCUCGUUGGCGGGGUAAAGGCCCACAAAGGCGCCAAUCCGUAGCUGGUCUGAGAGGAUGAUCAGCCACACUGGAACUGAGACACGGUCCAGACUCCUACGGGAGGCAGCAGUGGGGAAUAUUGGACAAUGGGCGCAAGCCUGAUCCAGCCAUACCGCGUGGUGGAAGAAGGCCUUCGGGUUGUAAAGCCCUUUUGUUGGGAAAGAAAAGCAGCAGGUUAAUACCCCGCUGUUCUGACGGUACCCAAAGAAUAAGCACCGGCUAACUUCGUG
rnacentral:rRNA from 1 species